rnacentral:miRNA from 1 species
GUGCAACUGACUCCAUCCUCUCUCUUCUCUCUCUCUCUCUCUCUCUCUCUCUCUCUCUCUCUCUCUCUCUCCCCGAGAGAGAGAGAGAGAGAGAGAGAGAGAGAGAGGGGAGAGAGAGAGAAUUUUUUAAUAUU